ensembl:miRNA oni-mir-10548c oni-mir-10548c
CGUGGUCUGUGGAGCCGUGCAGGUUUUGUCCGCCCUCCCUGCACGGCACCGCAGACCACGCCC